GCCAGAUGUGGUGGCGUGGACCGCUAGUCCCAGCUACUCGGGAGGCUGAGGUGGGGGGAUUGCUUGAACCCAGGAGCUCUGGGCUGUAGUGCACUAAGCCGACCGGGUGUCCACUAAGUUCGGCAUCAAUAUGGUGACCUCCCAGGAGCUGAAGACCACCAGGUUGCCUAAGGAGGGGUGAACCGGCCCAGGUCAGAAAUGGAGCAGCUCAGAACUCCCAUGCUGAUCAGCAGUGGGACCCCACCUGUGAAUAGCCACUGCACUCCAGCCUGGGCAACAUAGCAAGACCCCAUCUUU
rnacentral:SRP_RNA from 1 species